AAUCCAUAGGUUAAUGAGGCGAACCGGGGGAACUGAAACAUCUAAGUACCCCGAGGAAAAGAAAUCAACCGAGAUUCCCCCAGUAGCGGCGAGCGAACGGGGAGGAGCCCAGAGCCUGAAUCAGCAUGUGUGUUAGUGGAAGCGUCUGGAAAGGCGCGCGAUACAGGGUGACAGCCCCGUACACAAAAGCGCAUGUGCUGUGAGCUCGAUGAGUAGGGCGGGACACGUGGUAUCCUGUCUGAAUAUGGGGGGACCAUCCUCCAAGGCUAAAUACUCCUGACUGACCGAUAGUGAACCAGUACCGUGAGGGAAAGGCGAAAAGAACCCCGGCGAGGGGAGUGAAAAAGAACCUGAAACCGUGUACGUACAAGCAGUGGGAGCACAGGUUUACCUGUGUGACUGCGUACCUUUUGUAUAAUGGGUCAGCGACUUAUAUUCUGUAGCAAGGUUAACCGAAUAGGGGAGCCGGAGGGAAACCGAGUCUUAAUUGGGCGUUAAGUUGCAGGGUAUAGACCCGAAACCCGGUGAUCUAGCCAUGGGCAGGUUGAAGGUUGGGUAACACUAACUGGAGGACCGAACCGACUAAUGUUGAAAAAUUAGCGGAUGACCUGUGGCUGGGGGUGAAAGGCCAAUCAAACCGGGAGAUAGCUGGUUCUCCCCGAAAGCUAUUUAGGUAGCGCCUCGUGAAUUCAUCUCCGGGGGUAGAGCACUGUUUCGGCUAGGGGGCCAUCCCGGCUUACCAACCCGAUGCAAACUGCGAAUACCGGAGAAUGUUAUCACGGGAGACACACGGCGGGUGCUAACGUCCGUCGUGAAGAGGGAAACAACCCAGACCGCCAGCUAAGGUCCCAAAGUCAUGGUUAAGUGGGAAACGAUGUGGGAAGGCCCAGACAGCCAGGAUGUUGGCUUAGAAGCAGCCAUCAUUUAAAGAAAGCGUAAUAGCUCACUGGUCGAGUCGGCCUGCGCGGAAGAUGUAACGGGGCUAAACCAUGCACCGAAGCUGCGGCAGCGACGCUUAUGCGUUGUUGGGUAGGGGAGCGUUCUGUAAG
rnacentral:rRNA from 1 species